CAACGAAUAUUCCGCAAUGGGCGCAAGCCUGACGGAGCGACGCCGCGUGAAGGAUGAAGUCCUUCGGGAUGUAAACUUCAAUAGUAUGUCAGGAAGUAACCCGGCCUAAUAUGCCGGGAAGUUGACCAGCAUACGAAAGAGACGACUAACUCCGUGCCAGCAGUCGCGGUAAGACGGAGGUCUCAAGCGUUGUUCGGAAUCACUGGGCUUAAAGCGCGUGUAGGCGGGACGGUAAGUACCGUGUGAAAUCCCCGGGCUCAACCCGGGAAUGGCUCGGUAUACUGUCGUCCUUGAGGCAGGUAGGGGUCACUGGAACCUUAGGUGGAGCGGUGAAAUGCGUAGAUAUCUAAGGGAACGCCUGUGGCGAAAGCGGGUGACUGGGCCUGUCCUGACGCUGAGACGCGAAAGCGUAGGGAGCGAACGGGAUUAGAUACCCCUGUAGUCC
rnacentral:rRNA from 1 species